CCCGUGUGUGCCGUUGGCGAGUCUCAGAGAGUUUGACUCCUGGCUACGAGGACGAACGCUGGCGGCGUGCUUAACACAUGCAAGUCGAACGGAAAGGCCCUGCUUUUGUGGGGUGCUCGAGUGGCGAACGGGUGAGUAACACGUGAGUAACCUGCCCUUGACUUUGGGAUAACUUCAGGAAACUGGGGCUAAUACCGGAUAGGAGCUCCUGCUGCAUGGUGGGGGUUGGAAAGUUUCGGCGGUUGGGGAUGGACUCGCGGCUUAUCAGCUUGUUGGUGGGGUAGUGGCUUACCAAGGCUUUGACGGGUAGCCGGCCUGAGAGGGUGACCGGCCACAUUGGGACUGAGAUGCGGCCCAGACUCCUACGGGAGGCAGCAGUGGGGAAUAUUGCACAAUGGGCGGAAGCCUGAUGCAGCAACGCCGCGUGCGGGAUGACGGCCUUCGGGUUGUAAACCGCUUUCGCCUGUGACGAAGCGUGAGUGACGGUAAUGGGUAAAGAAGCACCGGCUAACUACGUG
rnacentral:rRNA from 1 species